UACGUAGGCAGCGAGCGUUGUUCGGAGUUACUGGGCGUAAAGGGUGCGUAGGCGGUUGUUUAAGUUUGGUGUGAAAUCUCCCGGCUCAACUGGGAGGGUGCGCCGAAUACUGAAUGACUAGAGUGCGGGAGAGGAUAGUGGAAUUCCUGGUGUAGCGGUGAAAUGCGUAGAUAUCAGGAAGAACACCCGUGGCUAAGGCGGCUCUCUAGUACGGUACUGACGCUGAGACGCGAAAGCGUGGGGAGCGAACAGG
rnacentral:rRNA from 1 species